GUCCACGCCGUAAACGAUGAGUGCUAGGUGCUGCGGGUAUUGACCCCUGCGGUGCCGUAGCUAACGCGUUAAGCACUCCGCCUGGGGAGUACGGCCGCAAGGCUAAAACUCAAAGGAAUUGACGGGGGCCCGCACAAGCGGUGGAGCAUGUGGUUCAAUUCGACGCAACGCGCAGAACCUUACCUGGGUUAAAUCCACUCGAACCUUGCAGAGAUGUGGGGGGUGCUCUUCGAAGAGCGAGUGAGAAGGUGCUGCAUGGCUGUCGU
rnacentral:rRNA from 1 species